UACGGAGGGAGCUAGCGUUGUUCGGAAUUACUGGGCGUAAAGCGCACGUAGGCGGCUUUGUAAGUUAGAGGUGAAAGCCCAGGGCUCAACCCUGGAAUUGCCUUUAAGACUGCAUCGCUUGAACAUCGGAGAGGUAAGUGGAAUUCCGAGUGUAGAGGUGAAAUUCGUAGAUAUUCGCAAGAACACCAGUGGCGAAGGCGGCUCACUGGCCCGAUACUGACGCUGAGGCACGAAAGCGUGGGGAGCAAACAGG
rnacentral:rRNA from 1 species